CGUAGGGUGCGAGCGUUAAUCGGAAUUACUGGGCGUAAAGCGUGCGCAGGCGGCGCCGCAAGUCAGGCGUGAAAUCCCCGAGCUUAACUUGGGAACGGCGCUUGAAACUACGGUGCUGGAGUGUGGCAGAGGGAGGUGGAAUUCCACGUGUAGCGGUGAAAUGCGUAGAGAUGUGGAGGAACACCGAUGGCGAAGGCAGCCUCCUGGGCCAACACUGACGCUCAUGCACGAAAGCGUGGGGAGCAAACAGGAUUAGAUACCCUGGUAGUCCACGCCCUAAACGAUGAUGACUAGUUGUUGGGGGAGUUAAAUCCCUUAGUAACGCAGCUAACGCGUGAAGUCAUCCGCCUGGGGAGUACGGUCGCAAGAUUA
rnacentral:rRNA from 1 species